GCCCUUUGCUUGCAAGGGGUACUCGAGUGGCGAACGGGUGAGUAACACGUGGGUGAUCUGCCUUGCACUUCGGGAUAAGCCUGGGAAACUGGGUCUAAUACCGGAUAGGACCAUGCUUUAGUGUGUGUGGUGGAAAGUUUUUCGGUGCAAGAUGAGCCCGCGGCCUAUCAGCUUGUUGGUGGGGUAAUGGCCUACCAAGGCGACGACGGGUAGCCGGCCUGAGAGGGUGUACGGCCACAUUGGGACUGAGACACGGCCCAGACUCCUACGGGAGGCAGCAGUGGGGAAUAUUGCACAAUGGGCGCAAGCCUGAUGCAGCGACGCCGCGUGGGGGAUGACGGCCUUCGGGUUGUAAACUCCUUUCGCUAGGGAAGAAGCCACUUUAGUGGUGACGGUACCUGGAUAAGAAGCACCGGCUAACUACGUGCCAGCAGCCGCGGUAAUACGUAGGGUGCGAGCGUUGUCCGGAAUUACUGGGCGUAAAGAGCUCGUAGGUGGUUUGUCGCGUCGUCUGUGAAAUCCCGGGGCUUAACUUCGGGCGUGCAGGCGAUACGGGCAUAACUAGAGUGCUGUAGGGGAGACUGGAAUUCCUGGUGUAGCGGUGAAAUGCGCAGAUAUCAGGAGGAACACCGAUGGCGAAGGCAGGUCUCUGGGCAGUUACUGACGCUGAGGAGCGAAAGCAUGGGUAGCGAACAGGAUUAGAUACCCUGGUAGUCCAUGCCGUAAACGGUGGGCGCUAGGUGUGGGGGUUUUAUUUACGAUUCCCGUGCCGUAGCU
rnacentral:rRNA from 1 species